rnacentral:rRNA from 1 species
AUACCAAGAACUGAGUCAUGCUAUGGUUAAAAGACAGUUUCAUUUAAUGUAUUUUAUAGGGGUAAAAUUUGAGUAUAAUUAUAUAAGUCAAAGGUGACUUGAAAGCUGAAUCUGUGAAAUCCUUGAGGGAAACUGGGAUUAGGUACCCCAUUAUUCUUGGAUGUAAAUGGAAUGAUUUUUACCGGAGUACUAUGAAUAUUGUAAUUUAAAACUCAAAGAACUUGGCGGUGUUUUAGACCACUUAGGGGAAUCUGUUUCGUAAUCGAUAAUCCACGUUAUACCUGACCUUUUUUUGUUUUUCAGUUUGUAUACCGUUGUCGUCAGGUAACUUUUUAGAGGAUAGAAGUUGGCUGUAGAAAGGUAAUUUAAUACGUCAAAUCAAGGUGCAGCUAAUAGAAAGGAGAGGAUGGAUUACAAUUAUAAAUUUAUAAACGGAAGGUGGACUUAAAAGUAAAUUAAAUUAUAGGAAUAAUUUGAAUUAGGCUCUGAAACGUGU